CACGCGUCGCUGACAAUGAACCAACUCAAACGCAAUUUACUUGAAUGUGGUGCCAUAACAUCUGGAUGAAACUGUGAAUUGACUGAAAGGUUACCCAAAGAAGGCCCAUAUAUUGGGGGCAAAGCCUGAAACUGUCGAUUUCAGGACCCCAGGACAGCCAACUUCAAGAGCAGGAUUACUUCAGGAAUCUUACCCGUCACUUCACAUCAGCGGCAAAGAUUGAUGUAGCCACCAGUUAUGCCUACCCUAAAGCUGACUUACAGGCGGCUGUGAUGGACAACAACUAUUGCCAAGUGCCAUGAAAACAAUAAUGCAUGGAUAGAGGGAAUGAUGUAAGUGAAAACAGAGGUCUAAUAUUAAGAAUCAGGCCCAAAUAUGAGAAAGAAUUAUCAAACUAGGUGAUGUGUGACAUCAUAGAAAUAUAAAAUUGUAUCUUAACUAUUUAAUGCUGUAACCAUCUACCAUGCUUUAAUGGGAUAUGACUAUUUCAGGUUGAGGAACAAACAGCGAAGGACACUGAGCAUAGCAAGUUACAACAAGGAAAGAGCGCAAUCUGACACAAGGAGAGACAAUGGCGGAUCACUGCUUCCAGAUUUGGAGAGAUAAUGUCAGCUACAGAGAAGAAGUAUAUGAACAAACUGUAUGAAUAAUUGUUGUGUCCAAAACCAUUGCAGACACAUGACAGUUGGACCCGGACCCGAUUUCCCCUUUUUGGAAUGUGUAUCUCGUGCACGAAUCUGGGCCUAAAGAAAACCCGCGAAUACUAUACUAAGUUAGAAGGCCAGAUGUUCAUUACAAAUCGCCCAUUCUGCUAUUUUGCUGUGUUUACAUUCAAAGAUCUGUUUGUGGGGUUGAUUCAUUCUGACGCUGGAUAUUUUUCUACAUGUAUUUUGCCCAGGAUAACUUUUUUUAAUGAAAAACACUAUAGGAAGUAUGUGUCAACCAGUUUAUAGAAAGUACCCCUGUAUGAGAUGGUUUUAGCUGCAAUCAUAAUUUUGAAGUGCAAUUUUAAAAAAUGUUUUCACUAAAAUGAAAUAAUUUGGUGGUGCUAUAUUCUUUACAAAAAGUACUUAUGUGUUUAUGCUGUUUUUAAUAAUAUUUAACUGUAAUGAAAAAAAACCCAUGAUGCUAUUUUGUAAAGUAUUUUAGUGGGAUGAAAUAAAUUGCUAGUUGUAUUUACAGCAAAUAAUUUGGUUUUUCUGCUUUUUAAAGAAUUUUCAAAGUGAUGACAUAAUGUGGUGGUUCUAUUCAAGUAAAAUAAUUCAUAAGUACUAUUUUGUAAAAAGGAACAAAAAACUGUUAAUUUGUAAAAUGUUUGCUUUCUUUAAUUUUUAUUUCUUAAACUGUUACAAAAAGUUUUCCAUACCUACAGUAAUCCAUUGGCUGAGAAAUUGCAGCUAUAUAUUCAGGAAAGUUAUAGCACAAAUAAAUUAUCGAAGUAUUACAUGGUUUCAUGGUUUUUACUAUGGACUGAAUAAUUAUUUUGUUUAAAUAAAAUAUUUGGUUUUGCUGCUUUUUAAUGAAUUUUCAGAGCGAUGAAAUAAUAUGGUGUUUCUACUCAAGUAAAACAAUUCAGAAGUGCUAUUUUGUAAAAAAA